rnacentral:misc_RNA from 1 species
AAAGUCGUAACAAGGUUUCCGUAGGUGAACCUGCGGAAGGAUCAUUAACGAGUUUUGUACCAAUACGGUACAAUCUUCAUCCAUAACACCUGUGAACUUUACAUUAACAUUUGCUUUGGCUGGACGUAAAAAACCUAGCCAAAGGAUUAAACAAAACCUUUUAUUUAAUAACCUAUUGUCUGAAUUGUAAUAAUUUUAAUUAUUCAAAACUUUCAACAACGGAUCUCUUGGUUCUC